GAUGAACGCUGGCGGCGUGCCUAAUACAUGCAAGUCGAGCGAACAGACGAGGAGCUUGCUCCUCUGACGUUAGCGGCGGACGGGUGAGUAACACGUGGAUAACCUACCUAUAAGACUGGGAUAACUUCGGGAAACCGGAGCUAAUACCGGAUAAUAUAUUGAACCGCAUGGUUCAAUAGUGAAAGACGGUUUUGCUGUCACUUAUAGAUGGAUCCGCGCCGCAUUAGCUAGUUGGUAAGGUAACGGCGUACCAAGGCAACGAUGCGUAGCCGACCUGAGAGGGUGAUCGGCCACACUGGAACUGGGACACGGCCCAGACUCCUACGGGAGGCAGCAGUAGGGAAUCUUCCGCAAUGGGCGAAAGCUUGCCGGAGCAACGCCGCGUGAGUGAUGAAGGUCUUCGGAUCGUAAAACUCUGUUAUUAGGGAAGAACAAAUGUGUAAGUAACUAUGCACGUCGUGACGGUACCUAAUCAGAAAGCCACGGCUAACUACGUG
rnacentral:rRNA from 1 species